CAGCCAACGGGGCGCCAAGAGCCCCCACACAAUGAUGCCUCUUGUGUUGGGUUUCCGGCCGACUGACUGCACCUGGGAAAGACCGGCUUCAUCUUCCUCUUUGUGAAGGUGCAAAGCCAGAAGUCAUCCUUCCAGCCUGUUGAUUGGCGUCUUACCAGACAUGGUUAGAUGUAAUUAUCCGAGUCUAAUACUGUCUGGUAAUGCCGUCCAUUAAACGGCAUUGCCUUCCGCUCUUCUCCCUUCCCUUCCUCUUGUUGUCGCGCAUCAGACUCGGUUAAUGAGCAAACGCAGAGCGGCGGGGCGGCACUUUCCACAGACGUGGACGAGCUGCAGGAAGAAUAAAUCCUGAAUCUGCAGGAGGGUUUUUCCUCACCUUUUUUUUAGCAUCAGGUCCUUUCAGCUCCUCUGCUGGGACCAAACCGGAGCAUCUAUGUCAACAUCUGUUUGAUAAACUUCUGCUUCUGUGAAAUGUUGAAGACUCUACAGUCUGAAAACACUGUUUGUACUGCACUAAAAAUGUAAGGCAUGAAAAAUAAAACAGUUUCAGUGGAAAAUGUU